rnacentral:rRNA from 1 species
GACGAACGCUGGCGGCGUGCUUAACACAUGCAAGUCGAACGGAAAGGCCCAGCUUGCUGGGUGCUCGAGUGGCGAACGGGUGAGUAACACGUGGGUGAUCUGCCUCUAACUUCGGGAUAAGCUUGGGAAACUGGGUCUAAUACCGGAUAGGACAAUCGUUUAGUGUCGGUUGUGGAAAGUUUUUUCGGUUAGGGAUGAGCCCGCGGCCUAUCAGCUUGUUGGUGGGGUAAUGGCCUACCAAGGCGUCGACGGGUAGCCGGCCUGAGAGGGUGGACGGCCACAUUGGGACUGAGAUACGGCCCAGACUCCUACGGGAGGCAGCAGUGGGGAAUAUUGCACAAUGGGCGCAAGCCUGAUGCAGCGACGCCGCGUGGGGGAUGACGGCCUUCGUGUUGUAAACCUCUUUCGACAGGGACGAAGCUUUGGUGACGGUACCUGUAUAAGAAGCACCGGCUAACUACGUG